AUCAUUUCUCUGUCUUUUGCCUAGGAUCAAGUAUAUAAUAUUUGUUCUCUUAAGUUUACUAUCUGGUAAUAUCCUCUGUCUAAGGACAAUACAUUAAAUGGAUUUGGGAGAUUGGAGAGGGAAUAUAAUUUGCUUCAACCACUCUAUAUUGUGAUCUGAUAUUUCAGUGUCUCUAUGACUGGUACCCUCU